rnacentral:rRNA from 1 species
UACGAAGGGUGCAAGCGUUACUCGGAAUUACUGGGCGUAAAGCGUGCGUAGGUGGUUUGUUAAGUCUGAUGUGAAAGCCCUGGGCUCAACCUGGGAAUUGCAUUGGAUACUGGCAGGCUAGAGUGCGGUAGAGGAUGGCGGAAUUCCCGGUGUAGCAGUGAAAUGCGUAGAGAUCGGGAGGAACCCCUGAGGCGAGGGCGGCGUCCUGGCCCGAUUCUGACAUUCAGACACGACAGCAUGGGGAGCGAACGGG